UGGGGAAUUUUGGACAAUGGGCGCAAGCCUGAUCCAGCCAUGCCGCGUGUCUGAAGAAGGCCUUCGGGUUGUAAAGGACUUUUGUCAGGGAAGAAAAGGCUGUCGCUAAUACCGACAGUUGAUGACGGUACCUGAAGAAUAAGCACCGGCUAACUACGUGCCAGCAGCCGCGGCAAUACGUAGGGUGCGAGCGUUAAUCGGAAUUACUGGGCGUAAAGCGAGCGCAGACGGUUACUUAAGCAGGAUGUGAAAUCCCCGGGCUCAACCUGGGAACUGCGUUCUGAACUGGGUGACUAGAGUGUGUCAGAGGGAGGUAGAAUUCCACGUGUAGCAGUGAAAUGCGUAGAGAUGUGGAGGAAUACCGAUGGCGAAGGCAGCCUCCUGGGAUAACACUGACGUUCAUGCUCGAAAGCGUGGGUAGCAAACAGGAUUAGAUACCCUGGUAGUCCACGCCCUAAACGAUGUCAAUUAGCUGUUGGGCAACUUGAUUGCUUAGUAGCGUAGCUAACGCGUGAAAUUGACCGCCUGGGGAGUACGAUCGCAAGAUUA
rnacentral:rRNA from 1 species